rnacentral:rRNA from 1 species
UACGUAGGGGGCAAGCGUUGUUCGGAAUCAUUGGGCGUAAAGGGCGUGUAGGUGGUUCUGUAUGUCUACCGUGAAAGCGUACGGCUCAACCGUAUUUAGUCGGUAGAAACUGCAGGACUUGAGGCUGGGAGGGGCUGGUGGAAUUCCCCGUGUAGCGGUGAAAUGCGUAGAGAUGGGGGAGAACACUCGUGGCGAAGGCGGCCAGCUAGACCAGUUCUGACACUGAGGCGCGAUAGCGUGGGGAGCAAACAGG